CCUACGUCUUAUCUCAUUCUCUCUUGCGCCGUUUCCCCUUCUGCCUCAUCCUUCCUUCCUUACCUCUCUCACCUUCUCUCUACUGAAAGUCUACAGUAAGUUAAAAUGGUCGCCGAUCGCCGCACCGGCCGCCUUCGGUAUGCUUAGAUCUUUGCCGACCACCUCUCCGAGCAUCUACGGUGGAGCAUCAUCGGUACCGGUCAAAUCCUGAACAGUGUAAAAACACUGUUCAAUCUACAGUAAAAUUUUGGUGAGUCCCUCUAUUUUGUCCGUUUGUGGAAGACUAAACGAUGCGUUUGGCCAAAGGGUGUAGAACUCUCUUUUCUUUCUGGAACUCUAAAGUAGUUCGUAUAUGUUCUUAUCUUCUUCUCCUUCUUUCUAAUAAACGUAUUUUUUUUUUCUUUUUUCUUUUCCUCCUAAACCACCGAUUUGUACUGUGAUUCAACUCCUUCAUAACCCAGCCUCAGCACCGAUCUCUCUCUACGAAUCCAGAACAACAAAAAAAAUUUGAAACCCAAGAACAUUUGCAGCCGAUCUGCAUGAGAGAAAAGCCAGAAAAAAAAAAAUGGAGCUCAAAGCCUCAAACGAUGUUUGUGAUCUCGAUCUGUUGGUUGGUGGAUGUGCGAGAGAUAGACGAUUGCAGGUGUUCUUCUUUGCAAUUAUCUCUGCACGUGAGAUUGAAAGUUUGGAUUUUUACUCAGAUUAGAUAAUUCUUCAGAGAUAUUUUCUCACCCAGCAGAGGGAGAGAGGACUGGGGAUUUGUAAUGAAAAUGGAUGAUUGAGAUUUGAGAUAAUUGGAGCAAAGUAGAGAGGGUGGCUUUCGUGUUUUCUCUCAACUGGCCUUUCGUAUUUACCUGGAUAAACUUUUCAAUCAAUAUGUCUCAAUUGUUCGCUCCUUAACUUCCGUUCUGGCUUUGGGGGAGGUCAUUCUACAAGCAAUAUGCGCAAGAUAUGGACUUACUAUCGAGGCCAAGUUCAUAUGGAUUGAUUAAACAUCAGUCCAUGCUUUGUCUUCAAAAAGGUAGAGAAUCACAUUGUUGGAGCUCCAUGUGGUGUGAUGGGCCAGAUAACUUAAGCAUGUGGUGAAGCCAACAAACUUCUUGCAGUUAUGUUCUAGCCUGCUAAGAUAUAUCAAAUUGCUUUCUUAGCUAGACAUGAUGACCACAGCCCAAUGCUUUCGUUGGUGCUGAUUAACAUCAUAAGCGCUUUCUCUAAGUAGCGAUAACUUAGACUCAUAUUCCAUGUUAAUGGUACUGUUGGAGCAAAGUAUAGAGGGUGGCUUUCGUGUUUUCUCUCAACA